rnacentral:lncRNA from 1 species
AAGCCAAGGUUUAGAAUUUGCUAUGGAAGUAUCAAUAGAAUAUAUAUUGAAUUUUGUAUGAAUAACUAUUUGUUUAAAUUAUAUAGCUGGGAUAUUUUGCCACUUUUCAGAUGAUUUCAGAAGAGGUUCUAGAAAACUAGGAUUAGUAAUAUGUGUGGGUCUGUGUUUAGAUAUUUAAGGUACAUUUGCUUAGUAUGAUGAGAAUAUAAGUAAAAGGCAUAAUGGGUACUAUAGAAUUAAAAUAGAGGGUGAUAGAUGCCAGUCCCACUUGAGCUUUGUUUUUGCAUUUGAAGAAAGUAUGUAGCACUUUCCUAUGUAUUUUUUAUACAUUGAAAACUGGAUGUGGUAUAACUAUGUUAUAGGAAAGUAGAAAUUGUAUUAUUUUCCAUCUUUGUUUUCUGUUAUCCUACAAAGUUGAUGCUUAAGCAUCAAGCUGAUUUCACUGGUGCAUGAGAGAAAGUGGAUGUGAUCUUGCAAGGAAUCAGAUUUUCUACGUGAAACAGUUUAAAAUGGCAUUCGAUGUUCUGUGCUCAGGUAUGUAGUUAAGUACUGUAGUCCUUUGGGGGCAAAUGUGUAGAUAUUUUUAAACAUUUUGCCAUAAUUGCACAAUUUUUUGCAUUUUUACCUGAUGGCAUUGUUUCUUGUAAUAAAACUUUUUCUGACUGAC